rnacentral:rRNA from 1 species
UACGUAGGGCGCAAGCGUUGUCCGGAAUUAUUGGGCGUAAAGAGCUCGUAGGCGGUUUGUCGCGUCUGCUGUGAAAACCCGAGGCUCAACCUCGGGCCUGCAGUGGGUACGGGCAGACUAGAGUGCGGUAGGGGAGAUUGGAAUUCCUGGUGUAGCGGUGAAAUGCGCAGAUAUCAGGAAGAACACCCGUGGCUAAGGCGGCUCUCUAGUACGGUACUGACGCUGAGACGCGAAAGCGUGGGGAGCGAACAGG